GAUGAACGCUGGCGGCGUGCCUAAUACAUGCAAGUCGAGCGAACAGACGAGGAGCUUGCUCCUCUGACGUUAGCGGCGGACGGGUGAGUAACACGUGGAUAACCUACCUAUAAGACUGGGAUAACUUCGGGAAACCGGAGCUAAUACCGGAUAAUAUAUUGAACCGCAUGGUUCAAUAGUGAAAGACGGUUUUGCUGUCACUUAUAGAUGGAUCCGCGCCGCAUUAGCUAGUUGGUAAGGUAACGGCUUACCAAGGCAACGAUGCGUAGCCGACCUGAGAGGGUGAUCGGCCACACUGGAACUGAGACACGGUCCAGACUCCUACGGGAGGCAGCAGUAGGGAAUCUUCCGCAAUGGGCGAAAGCCUGGCGGAGCAACGCCGCGUGAGUGAUGAAGGUCUUCGGAUCGUAAAACUCUGUUAUUAGGGAAGAACAAAUGUGUAAGUAACGAUGCACGUCUGGACGGUACCUAAGCAGAAAGCCACGGCUAACUACGU
rnacentral:rRNA from 1 species